CUACACUUUAUCAACCUAUUCGACGAAAUUUGACUGUUUUUUUGGACUCUUCAUAGCUUAAUACGCUGGAACUGCUGUGAUGAGUUAGCCGCUGCAAAGUUAUCAACAAUAAUCUUCAUCGCAUGAUUGUGAAGCUCACUGGGAGAUACUCUGGAAACCAUGUCUAGAUCGCCUACUGUUACACCGUAGGUUACCUUUAUGUCUAGAUCGCCUACUGUUACACCGUAGGUUACCUUUAUGUCUAGAUCGCCUACUGUUACACCGUAGGUUACCUUUAUGUCUAGAUCGCCUACUGUUACACCGUAGGUUACCUUUAUGUCUAGAUCGCCUACUGUUACACCGUAGGUUACCUUUAUGUCUAGAUCGCCUACUGUUACUCCGUAGGUUACCUUUAUGUCUAGAUCGCCUACUGUUACACUGUAGGUU